rnacentral:ncRNA from 1 species
CGCUAGGGGCGCCUUUACUGGCUGAGAAUGGCGGCAUUCGCCUGACCCUCAUCACUUGAUCCGGAUUAUACCGGCGUAAGGAAGCAUAAUAC